AAGCACUUUACGUUGACUUGUUGUUGUUGUUGUUGCAAUGCUGGAGUAGGAUAGCAGAGUGUAACAAUCAAGCACUUUAACCAAGCACUAUUUUAAUUUGUGCCUCCUGUCGUGACUGUGAUUUGUUACACGCCAGUAGCAAGUCACACAACCUGUCCUGUGAUAACUGUGAUGGUAAUCUUUUAUGUUGUUAUCCGUUUCUACUGUAAAACUCAGUUGUAAAUAACUCUGUCAAUAAGCAUUUCCUGACCUAUUUCGGAGCACCUGCCGGGGCGUGUAGCUAUCUGCAUGCAACAGGUCUUGGGGCGUGCGGAAGCACGGGACUCGGGAGCGGAGGCGCACGCUGGAGGAAGACCAUAACCAUGCGAGCCCGCUGCGUUUUGUCCCUUCCCCUUGUGAAAAAGCCGUUGGUUGGUCCUGAAUGUAACUGUCUGUCCGUCCGAGCUGUACAGUACUUCUGUCUCUAAUCCAUAAUAGUGAAUGCAGCAUGUACGGACAAAAGCAAUAAGCACAUAUCUGUUUUAGGAACUGUUAUGGGUUACGAUGAUAGCUUUGCUAGGUCUCUCCGUGGCACAAACCCGCACGCAUGCUGGAGCGGUGGUCCCACUGGGCUCCUGGCGGUGGGAUGCAUCCCGAGGCACUGCUCACAUGUCCUCCUUGCCUCCUGCGAGGCCAGGCCCUAGGGAAUGCGCAAGUGAGACCUGAGCCACCACCUCGCGAAUUCGCCCGCUGGCAGUGGAAGAGGCCUCGUGUCAUGCAGAGAAUUACGUGGGAGGUACUCAAACUCAGUGCAUUGCUCGAACUACGUGCGAGCAAACUGUGCUCUCCAGAGUAUUUACACAGGGCCAAUUCCUGAGGUUCCUCAGCUUUUGCUCUGUCUUCACUCAGUCAAAACCACCAUUCCUCCAAAUGGGCUCUUUGCCUGGUGAACGACUUUAGGAUUUGGCCAUAGUAAAUACAAGUGUACUUAAAGGAACUGACGUAUUGCUAGUUAAGAUUGAGUCGUUAUGAAGAAGUAAAGUGACUUUCCAGCAGAUAAGCUUUAAAUACUGAUUUAUUCUAUGGCUUUCCGAGGCCAUAGAGUGGCAAUGAGAAAUUUUAACGAGAACAGUCUUAACAUAACCUCUAUGUUUCAGUGAUCAUUCAUGUCUGCCAUCAGCACAAAUGUAAAAAGAAAAAAAAAAUCAGGGACAAUUUUUUUGAUAAAGUAAGUAAUAGUGAUUUCCAAGCUAAAUAUUUUUAGAGCUGAUGCUUUCAUGUGGAAAAAAGUCAUAUUUUACAUAUCACAAAAGUGAGCAUAUUUAAAUAUAGCCAUAUAGUGUAGUAUUUACCACACUUUCAUCCAAAUUGAUGUAUUUGGUUUAUAGAUGGCACUGACAAAAAUGUAUAGAUCAACGAUUCUAUCAUUUUUAACUGAUAAUCAACUGGUGCAACUCUCCUUGUAACCAAAGGCCCUCUGUUUGCCUUGUGUGUUCACUUACGACACAUAUCUUAAUCAUCUAUUUAGUCCUACCUUUAAAGUAGCAUUUUACUGAGUCACUUUUGAAAGCCAAAUUCAAAAGUAUCAUUAAAAAUCUACCUUUUAAGUCUGAAUAGCCAAAGUCCUAUAGAUUUCUUAUAGAAAGCAAAUAAUUUAAAAUUGAGCAUAUAAUAUGCUUGAAGAGCAUUUCUUUCUUAUUUGUGUAUGAAGAUGUAGCUCUCAUUUUGUGCCCAGUUAAAAAGGAAGUAUGUUUAAUUUAUUUUAAU
ensembl:lncRNA